AGGCAGGCGAGCGCUUCGGAGCGGACUCGUUUUUUUCCGCCAGUCUUGGCGGAAGCCUGAGACGCAAUAGAUGGAGACUCUCCUUUUCGCCUUGGCGUACUCUUUUUUUUUUUUUCCUCCCUGGAGCUGGUCUUGUGGGGCAGCCCUAAAAUGUAUCUCCAAGUGACCCUGCACUCAUCACUUGCUGCCUUGGACUUAGUUUCCUCAUUCGUAGAAUGGAGACACCACACUUUCUGAAGUGCUUAUGAGACUUGCAGGAGCAUGGGUUCUUUGAAGAGUUUUAAAGAGAAUUCACAAUUACUGAAUAUUACAUAAUUUGAAGAUGAGUAAACUGCUUUCAUCACUGCUCUGGCAAUAAAAUCUGGAAAUCUGGAGAACUCUAGCUUCUAAAAACUAUCUUAUGAUCCAAUUCAGAAUGUGUAGUUCUGCACACAUCGUACAUUUCUUUUUCCUAAGCCAAAUGAUCAUCAAUUCAUCUAAAACCAUUGUCAGGAGGCCCUAUGCUAUGCAAGACUAAUUGUGAGUGUGACUGUAUGCAAAAACAAACAAACAAACAAGGGAAAAAAAGCUUGUUAAAAAGGGAAUUCUUUACUCAAGAGGCAGGAAAAAAAUACCUCCUGACUAGGGAAAGCACAUAUUGAUAGUUCCAGCAGCAACAAACCUGGAGAUCUCUGUCAUUUCUGUUCAAGUGCAUGAAAAGCAAGGCAGCAAAAGCUGUUGGUGCUGUGAGCAUAGAAGGCUAAGGACAUACUUCCCAGCAACUUGCUCGGACUGGACGGUGACUGGAGCUGAUUCCUGAGAUGGGAGUGUGAGCUUGGCAGGCUUUGACAUGGAGCCAGGCCAAAGUGGGAGGCCAAAUUUACAGUGUCAAAUAAACCAUGACUUAGGCGAGAUUUUGUUCAAAAGUAUCAUUGGAAGGGGUUGGAUGGUGGUGGGGUGUGGGGAGACUAUUGUAAUAAAUAGAACACUCUACACAUGAGAUCUGCAGGCAUCUCAAGAGUUAGGCAAAAAGUGGUUUUGUUUUAUAGGAGGAAUAAACAAGGAAGUGAUGUGAGGAAGUGGAUGAAGGGGUCCCAAAAGUGGGUAGUGGAUCAGGGAACAUUCUUCUGGAGGCCAGCCUGUUCUUAGGAGUGAGUGAAGACCAGCUCAGGCUGAUGGUGGGCCAAGGUUCUGGGACCUGGGGAAAGGACAGAAACUUAACCAAAGUUCAAUAAAUAAGAAUUUUGUUUCCAUUAAUUUCAGGGGAAAAAAUAGUUCAGCUAAUCUAUGAGGCAAAGAAUAGGAAUUUGGAAGGCCCAGUCUGGCCUGUCAUAAGUAAACAGGGGCAGGGGUGGGGUGAUAUGGUUAAGCUUUGUGUCCCCACCCAAAUCUCACCUUGAAUUGUAAUCCCCAUAAUCCCCACUUGUCAAGGGAGAGACCAGGUGGAGGAAAUUGAAUCAUGGAUGUGGUUUCUCCCAUGCUGGUCUCGUGAUAAUGAGUGAAUUAUCAUGAGAUCUGAUGGUUUUAUAAGGGGCUCUUCUCCCUUCGUUCAACACUUCUCCUUCCUGCCGCCUUGUGAAGAAGACGCCUUGCUUCCCCUUGGCCUUACACCAUGAUUGUAAGUUCCCUGAGGCCUCCCCAGUCAUGCUGAACUGUGAGUCAAUUAAAUCUCUUUCCUUUAUAUUAGGGUGGUGCAAAAGUAAUUGCAGUUUUUGCCAUUGAAAGUAAUAAAUUACCCAGCCUUCAGCAGCUCUUUAUAGCAGUAUGAAAACAGACUAAUACAGGGGGCUUCCAUGAGUCUAAUUUAAGUCAUACAAGGAAGAGGGAUCUUGAAGUUAAGUCAUUUCCUCUAGCACGAAGGAUGGGAGAUUUCUUAGCAUCCUCUGUUUUCUAAGAACACAGGUAAAAUUCAACACUGUCAGCAGUAAGGGCUUCUAAGGACAACUUAAGAGUCUUCUUUUUUCCUUUCCCAACUCUCAUCCUUUCUUUAGGUAGAGAAGAUUUCCUGACCUGUAUCUUUUUCCCUCCCUCUGAAGAACUUCUUUCAACAUUUCUUGCAAGGCAGAUUUACUGGUGACAAAUGCCCUCAGUUUUGUUGAUUUGAGUCUUUAUUUCUCCAUCACCUUUGAAGGAUAAUUUUGCAGGAUACAAAAUUUUACAUGAGUUUUUUAUUCCUUCAAAUCUUUGAAUCUUUACUCCACUCUCUUGCUGGCCUGGUUAUGGACUAGAAGUCUGAUGGAAUGCCCAUCUUUGUUCCUUUCUGGGUGGGUGUCCCCCACCAUGCCACCCCUACCCCAGGAUUUUUUCAAGAUUUUUCCCUAGGUCUUUGUUUUUCUGUAGUCUGAGUAUGAUACGCUCAGGUGUUGAUUUGGGGGUAUUAAUUGUGCUUGUUGUUCUCUGAGCUUCUUUAAUCUAUGGUUUGAUUUUUGUUAAUAAUUUUAGAAAAUUCUCAGUCAUUAUAAUCUUUAAAUAUUUCUUCUGCUCCUUCACUUUCUUUGUUCUCCUUUUGGUAUUCAUUAGUGUGUGUUAUGCCUUUUAUGUCUCACCAUUCUAGCAUAUUCUAUUUCUUUUAAAAUAUUUUUUUUCUUCUCCUUG
rnacentral:lncRNA from 10 species